rnacentral:lncRNA from 1 species
UCAAAAGAAACGUCAGACUUGUCAGAUUUGUUUAUUUACAUCUCUAAGGAAGGCGACUACAUAUCGAAGGAGUGCUAUAUUGUUUGCGUCGAAAAUUUGAUAAAUGUUACUAAAGCUAUUCAAGCCGUAUUUGCUCCUGGUGUUAGCGUACUUGAUGCAACUGAAAAAAAGCCAGUACGCUGAGAAGUCAUGGCCUGCAAGGAGCCGAUUUAGAGUUCGAGUUUCGGAGUUGGUGAGUUGAAGUCCGGAAUACCAGGGCUUCUUUGGGAUGGUAUUUUGAAGUUGGAAAUACUUGCAACCUUUUCCGUCUAUAGCAGCAUAUUCAAGAUUUCGUUUUGGUUCAGAGCAGCUUUUGCCAGAAGAUCAGCCAUUUCAUUACCGGCACAGCCAGUAUGACCGGGGAUCCACUGCAAAACUGUGCGAGUCCUAGAAGCCAUGGCUUAUAAUCUCUCUACAAGUCCAUCACGAUAACGGUCAUUUGAGGUUGAUUUUUAAAACUCCAAUCCUGCCUUCGAAUCACUCAUAAUUACCGCAUUUGUGAUUUCGGAACGCUAUACAUAUUGAAGUGCGACCCAGAUAGCUUCAAGCUCAGCUGACAUGAUGCAAACCCGAUGUUCCAGCUUCAGACUAAGCCGAAAGUUAGAAGACGAGUCAUACACACCAAUCCCACAAGACUCCCAGUUCUUGGAGGCAUCCGUAUAAAUGAUACACUUUCCACUGUACCUGCCAUGAAUUAGUGAAAGAGUUAGUUGCUUUAAAACUUUCUCA